GAAACAAGCCAGAAUAUUGCAUUCAUUUCAUGAAAGCACAAAUUUUCAGACAGAACUUUGAUGCACAAAACUCAAUCAUACAACUUCAAACGAUACACAAAAAUACUUUUUCAAUGUUUAAGGAAAAAGAACGCCACAGAAAUAUUAGCAAGGCAUAUGAUAGACCUCAGUAACAACAAUUUUGAGUUUAGAUUAGAUUUUAUCAAUGUCUUCAUCCUCAAACUCAAUGUAAUCAUCACCAGCACCCUCAUCCUCUUCAUCAAGACCAUUAGCAAUGCCCUCAUUAAGUCUUGUGUUCUCUGGUAACUCUCCAUAUGCCUUCAAUAACCUGGCCUCAUCAGGCAUGUACUUCAAGAUCACAUCAGCUUUGUCAUCCUGAUAGUCACGUAGGCCAACAAGGAUGAUAUCACCAGCAGCGAUCCAUACUUUCUUAUGCAUCUUACCACGUAUGUGACAAAGACGCUUAGUUCCAUCAAUACACAUAGCUUCACAUCGUCCAUUACCAAGCAUACGAAGGACCUGAGCAUAUUCCUGUCCAUCUUCUUUGAAAACAAGCUCUCUUUUCUCAUCAUCGGCUUCAUUCUUUCCUCUCUUCCUGUUCUUACCUCCCUUACCCUUGUUCUUCGGCAUGGUUGUUCGAUUGAAUCGCUUCUCUCAAACUUCGAUUGGAGAAGGAAGAAACCCUAAAUUGGAAAAAGGGGGCGUUCUUGUUCCUUUUUAUCUGAAUGAUUUUUUUUUGGUUCGC
rnacentral:misc_RNA from 1 species